rnacentral:rRNA from 1 species
UACGAAGGGGGCUAGCGUUGCUCGGAAUCACUGGGCGUAAAGCGCACGUAGGCGGAUUGCUAAGUCAGGGGUGAAAUCCUGGAGCUCAACUCCAGAACUGCCUUUGAUACUGGCGACCUUGAGUCCGGGAGAGGUGAGUGGAACUGCGAGUGUAGAGAUGAAAUUCGUAGAUAUUCGCAAGAACACCAGUGGCGAAGGCGGCUCACUGGCCCGGUACUGACGCUGAGGUGCGAAAGCCAGGGGAGCAAACGGG